AUUGAACGCUGGCGGCAGGCCUAACACAUGCAAGUCGAACGAGUGGCGGACGGGUGAGUAAUGUCUGGGAAACUGCCUGAUGGAGGGGGAUAACUACUGGAACCGGUAGCUAAUACCGCCUACCAUCGUAUGUGCCCCGAUGGGAUUAGCUAGUAGGUGGGGUAAAGGCUCACCUAGGCGACGAUCCCUAGCUGGUCUGAGAGGAAGACGAGCCACACUGGAACUGAGACACGGUCCAGACGCCUACGGGAGGCAGCAGUGGGGAAGAUUGCACAAGGGGCGCAAGCCUGAUGCAGCCAUGCCGCGUGGAUGAAGAAGGCGUUCGGGGUGUAAAGUACUUUAAGCGGGGAGGCGUUACCCGCAGAAGAAGCACCGGCUAACUCCGUGCCAGCAGCCGCGGGAAUAC
rnacentral:rRNA from 1 species